rnacentral:lncRNA from 1 species
UCCUUGCUGUAGUCUAUCCUUAAGUUGGGUCAGUCUGUUGUCUGUGUAUGUUUAGGAGCGUUUCCAGGAUAUUUGAAAGAGGGGGUGGAGAAUGAAAAAUUUUUGGACCUUAUUUUUGCCAAAAAACAUAAAAUAAAUAUGUAAUGCACUAAUGUAACGGUUCCUGAUUUGGAGCAUGUAUAUUUUAUAGUGAAAGUGUCAGGGUUUUACAUUUUUUAUGCCAAACUCUCUCCAUUAAUUG